AGCCGCUCGCGCAAAAAUAAACAAACAGAAAUAGCGAACAUAACCAUUUCGUCGGUGUUUGUUUUUGCUGCACCGCAGUCAUUUUCUUUUUGUCUGAAAAUCGGGAGUGUGAUUUGUAUCCGGCCGAGCCAAGCCCCGUCGGCGAUCUGAUGCCCAAUCCGGCCCGUCGCAAGAAGAAGAUUGUCUACACGAAAUCGGUCGUGGAUGAUAAGAAAGCUGCAGCUGUCGCCGAUCGGCGAUAACACGAUUUCCGGCAUCGAAAAGUCAAAAUAAUCCAGACCGACGAAGCAGAUUACGGUCAUGCUGCCGAGCAUCAUCUUUCCAGAGACUGAGCCAGCUCAAGAAGCUGGAAUGACGAUGACGUGUAGGAGCUGCCGGAAGCUGUAAGGAAUCCUCCAAGGCGGAAGUUUUUUCGCGGAAAGUGCUCCAUUCUCUUCAGCCUGGCCUAGCUUCCUGUUCCUCCUCCAUCUGUGUGAUUUUGGCCGCGCAACCUCGAAUAAAAUUCGACUUGUUUUGUGCGUUUGCGCCCCCUGAGCGCUCGGCCAAAUGCCGAACUACAACCUUCUCAAACAGCUCCACAAGCCGGAUGGAUUUUGGAAAGAACAACGUCCUGUGAAUUACUACUGCCGCGAUGAUUUCCACCAGAAGGAGGCCAAAACAAGCAUCGGCUGGUGCCGGAGCCAAAAACACACGACGACCAGCACCGGGACGACCAGAGCGAAAAACAUUCAGAAUACGGGAGUAGGAACGGACUUUAGGCAAACACAAAAACCUGCUGAACCUUGGAUACAGAUGCCUCGAAGAUCAACAAACGACUCGCAAGUCAAACAGAUGACUCACGUCGGAGAUUGUGAACUGCGGGACAGAAACGCGUCGAGCACGUCAAGGGCAGGAACCCAAAAAGAUGAACCAUUGGCUCCAACAUGGAACGGAUUGUCCAGUGAUGGCGAGAUUGCGUGCUUCGGUAUGUCCAAGUUCCAAUAAGUGACCGCUAAAUCCAUGCGUGUGUUUCACGAAACCGGUGGAGAGAUACCUAUCACGUCAACCUCCCUUAGCGAUUGCAGCGUGAGUUCAGCAAACGUCUUAACAAGUCUGACUGCUGGCGUAGAUUCUGUCCCGCCAACAGGGCGUACAAAAGGAGGGAACCCGUUCAAGGUGGAUGGUCUUCUCUGGGAGGCCGCUCCGCUCAAGUCGAUCCUCGAGGUGGAGGUCGCAUUUGGAAUCGCGAUGGUGGCGCUCUGCUUGGGCAUCAUGUGGCGCCAGAUGCUCCAGAGUUAAUCGAGCUCCGUCUGCACCAGGACCUUUCCCGAAGGCACAAAGAGGA